GUGGAGGUGAUCUAUAAGGGUGGAGAUUCAGCAGAUCCACAUGGUGAACAGAUCUGCAUUGUGGAUAGAAGAUCACUAAGCUGUACAGCUGAAUACACACCGAGAACAUCACUCACUAACACAGUUCUUACACUGAGAGGAGUAAAGCUGACUGAUGGGGGAGUUUACAUCGUCCGAGACACGGAGACUAAUGAAUAUUUUCAUACUUACACAGUAUCAGUGACAGUAUCAGUGAGAGAGACAGGUAGAGUGAGUUUCUCGACAGUGCUGCUGCUGCCACCGCUGCUGCUGCUGCUUGUUGUUGCGCUGCCUGUGAUGAUCCUGUACCAGAGGAAACGACUUCAGUUCUACCAAAGAGAUGAACCAUAUUAACUUGUACAGAGGAGCAGCAGUGGAGCAGGAAGACAUCAGAUCUGAAAUGGUACCUCAGAAAUGACUAACCUACGAGAGAACCGAAUGAUGUUGGAGCAGGAAGAGAACGAAGCUCAAACAUAAGAAUGGAGUAACAGAGGGAAGAGAUUUAUAACUUCAUACAGCAUGAUUCUGGAGCAAGGAGAGAGCUAAACUCAGAUAGGAAGACGGGAAUAAAUGAUUUCUCCAUCCCUUUGUUCUUCACAACACCAAAAGAAUAUGACCUGACUACAGAAUCUGCUGGAAUCCUCCCUCAUACUGUUUGUCAGUUCUAGACCUGACUACUGCAAGUCUUUUUUUUAAUCCCUUUAUCUGUUACAUAUCCUCAUCAGAUAAUUCUAUAGGCUUCUCCUGUCAUAUAUUACCUUUGGAGAAGAUUUCACUGAGCACCACAUCAUGUAAGAAGCCUGGUUUAGAUCUCCACACCUGCACUCCAACUCUGGAAUAUCAUCUGUCCUUCUCUGGGAUCUGCUUCAGUCCUGGUUCCUCAGCAGUGUGAUGAGCUUCCAGCUCCUCUAAGAAGUGACAUGCAUAUUGGAAAAGUGCUUCACCUCAGCAACACUGAAUGCCAUGAAAUGAUCAUAUAACUGGUUGGUCAGGAUUCCCUUCAGCAAAGUCCUGCCAGUGUACACCACAAACUAACACAGUGAAAGCGGUUGGAUCCAUCACUCCACAUUCCCUAAUCUAACAGACCUGAUUCAACUCGUCAGAUUACUAGGAAAUUGCUUCAAGUCCUGAAAUGGGUGUUUAAGAUGCGGUAGACAUCCACCAUGCAGUGUUGGGGGCCUUCCAGGAAAAUGGUAAGAAAACACUGAAGACACUGUGCAUGAGCGUCCUCUACUGCCUGACAAUGGUAAUGUAAUAAUAAAGGCUUUUGGAACUAA